rnacentral:rRNA from 1 species
GUGGAAACAGGUGCUAAUACCGCAUAAAACCUAACACCGCAUGGUGUAGGGUAGAAAGAUGGUUUCGGCUAUCACUUUAGGAUGGACCCGCGGUGCAUUAGUUAGUUGGUGAGGUAAAGGCUCACCAAGACCGUGAUGCAUAGCCGACCUGAGAGGGUAAUCGGCCACACUGGGAGUGAGACACGGCCCAGACUCCUACGGGAGGCAGCAGUAGGGAAUCUUCCACAAUGGACGAAAGUCUGAUGGAGCAACGCCGCGUGAGAGAAGAAGGUUUUCGGAUAGUAAAACUCUGUUGUUGGAGAAGAAUGUAUCUGAUAGUAACUGAUCAGGUAGUGACGGUAUCCAACCAGAAAGCCACGGCUAACUA